rnacentral:rRNA from 1 species
GACGAACGCUGGCGGCGUGCUUAACACAUGCAAGUCGAACGGUAAGGCCCUUCGGGGUACACGAGUGGCGAACGGGUGAGUAACACGUGGGUGAUCUGCCCUGCACUUCGGGAUAAGCCUGGGAAACUGGGUCUAAUACCGGAUAGGACCCUGGGAUGCAUGUCCUGGGGUGGAAAGCUUUUGCGGUGUGGGAUGGGCCCGCGGCCUAUCAGCUUGUUGGUGGGGUGAUGGCCUACCAAGGCGACGACGGGUAGCCGGCCUGAGAGGGUGACCGGCCACACUGGGACUGAGAUACUGCCCAGACUGCUACGGGAGGCAGCAGUGGGGAAUAUUGCACAAUGGGCGCAAGCCUGAUGCAGCGGCGCCGCGUGAGGGAUGACGGCCUUCGGGUUGUAAACCUCUUUCAGCACCGACGAAGCGCAAGUGACGGUAUGUGCAGAAGAAGGACCGGCCAACUACGUGCCAGCCGCCGCGGUAA